rnacentral:rRNA from 1 species
UUGAACGCUGGCGGCAGGCCUAACACAUGCAAGUCGAACGGUAACAGGAAGCAGCUUGCUGUUUCGCUGACGAGUGGCGGACGGGUGAGUAAUGUCUGGGAAACUGCCUGAUGGAGGGGGAUAACUACUGGAAACGGUAGCUAAUACCGCAUAACGUCGCAAGACCAAAGAGGGGGACCUUCGGGCCUCUUGCCAUCGGAUGUGCCCAGAUGGGAUUAGCUAGUAGGUGGGGUAACGGCUCACCUAGGCGACGAUCCCUAGCUGGUCUGAGAGGAUGACCAGCCACACUGGAACUGAGACACGGUCCAGACUCCUACGGGAGGCAGCAGUGGGGAAUAUUGCACAAUGGGCGCAAGCCUGAUGCAGCCAUGCCGCGUGUAUGAAGAAGGCCUUCGGGUUGUAAAGUACUUUCAGCGGGGAGGAAGGGAGUAAAGUUAAUACCUUUGCUCAUUGACGUUACCCGCAGAAGAAGCACCGGCUAACUCCGUGCCAGCAGCCGCGGUAAUACGGAGGGUGCAAGCGUUAAUCGGAAUUACUGGGCGUAAAGCGCACGCAGGCGGUUUGUUAAGUCAGAUGUGAAAUCCCCGGGCUCAACCUGGGAACUGCAUCUGAUACUGGCAAGCUUGAGUCUCGUAGAGGGGGGUAGAAUUCCAGGUGUAGCGGUGAAAUGCGUAGAGAUCUGGAGGAAUACCGGUGGCGAAGGCGGCCCCCUGGACGAAGACUGACGCUCAGGUGCGAAAGCGUGGGGAGCAAACAGGAUUAGAUACCCUGGUAGUCCACGCCGUAAACGAUGUCGACUUGGAGGUUGUGCCCUUGAGGCGUGGCUUCCGGAGCUAACGCGUUAAGUCGACCGCCUGGGGAGUACGGCCGCAAGGUUAAAACUCAAAUGAAUUGACGGGGGCCCGCACAAGCGGUGGAGCAUGUGGUUUAAUUCGAUGCAACGCGAAGAACCUUACCUGGUCUUGACAUCCACGGAAGUUUUCAGAGAUGAGAAGGUGCCUUCGGGAACCGUGAGACAGGUGCUGCAUGGCUGUCGUCAGCUCGUGUUGUGAAAUGUUGGGUUAAGUCCCGCAACGAGCGCAACCCUUAUCCUUUGUUGCCAGCGGUCCGGCCGGGAACUCAAAGGAGACUGCCAGUGAUAAACUGGAGGAAGGUGAGGAUGACGUCAAGUCAUCAUGGCCCUUACGACCAGGGCUACACACGUGCUACAAUGGCGCAUACAAAGAGAAGCGACCUCGCGAGAGCAAGCGGACCUCAUAAAGUGCGUCGUAGUCCGGAUUGGAGUCUGCAACUCGACUCCAUGAAGUCGGAAUCGCUAGUAAUCGUGGAUCAGAAUGCCACGGUGAAUACGUUCCCGGGCCUUGUACACACCGCCCGUCACACCAUGGGAGUGGGUUGCAAAAGAAGUAGGUAGCUUAACCUUCGGGAGGGCGCUUACCACUUUGUGAUUCAUGACUGGGGUG